rnacentral:rRNA from 1 species
UACGUAGGGCGCAAGCGUUGUCCGGAAUUAUUGGGCGUAAAGAGCUCGUAGGCGGUCUGUCACGUCGGAUGUGAAAGCCCGGGGCUUAACCCCGGGUCUGCAUUCGAUACGGGCAGACUAGAGUGUGGUAGGGGAGAUCGGAAUUCCUGGUGUAGCGGUGAAAUGCGCAGAUAUCAGGAGGAACACCGGUGGCGAAGGCGGGACUCUGGGCCGAUACUGACGCUGAGGAGCGAAAGCGUGGGGAGCAAACAGG